rnacentral:lncRNA from 1 species
GGCACCAUCCAUAUCUUUCAUGAUCCAUAUCAUUUAUCUUCAAUCAUAAUCGUUCACCUCAGUGACAUACUACAUUUCUUUGGAACCAAAUACCAUAUUCCUUUGUAAUUCCAUAUAUAUCCUUUCAGGACAAUUGUCCAUAUUUGUACCAAGAGAUGUUUGCCUUGAUGCCAAACACUUAAUUCUCCUUGUUUUAGAUCCAAC